AGCAGCCGCGGUAAUUCCAGCUCCAAUAGCGUAUAUUAAAGUUGUUGCAGUUAAAAAGCUCGUAGUUGAAUUUCGGGGUCAGUAGGCUGGUCGUGCCACAGGUAUGUACUGGUCUCACUGAUUCCUCCUUCCUGAUGAACCGUAAUGCCAUUAAUUUGGUGUUGCGGGGAAUCUGGACUGUUACUUUGAAAAAUUAGAGUGUUUAAAGCAGGCUAACGCUUGAAUACAUUAGCAUGGAAUAAUGAAAUAGGACGAUCGAUCCUAUUUUGUUGGUUUCUAGGAUUGACGUAAUGAUUAAUAGGGAUAGUUGGGGGCAUUAGUAUUCAAUUGUCAGAGGUGAAAUUCUUGGAUUUAUUGAAGACUAACUACUGCGAAAGCAUUUGCCAAGGAUGUUUUCAUUAAUCAAGAACGAAAGUUAGGGGAUCGAAGACGAUCAGAUACCGUCGUAGUCUUAACCAUAAACUAUGCCGACUAGGGAUCGGAUGAUGUUAAUUUUUAAUGUA
rnacentral:misc_RNA from 1 species